rnacentral:misc_RNA from 1 species
GAUGAAGAACGUAGCGAAAUGCGAUAAUUAAUGUGAAUUGCAGAAUUCCGUGAAUCAUCGAGUCUUUGAACGCACAUUGCGCCUCAUGGCAUUCCGUGAGGCAUGCCCAUCUCAGCGUUAGAAAAUAUUCUCAAAUUUUAGUUUUGUGCUAAAAUUUGGAUCAUGUCAAGGAAGCUAUUACUAUUAUUGUGAUCGCUCUUUGGAAAUUGAUAGGUCUUUGAGUUGCUACUCAUAGAACGUGAUGAAUCUUUCUUCGUUCUAUUGUAAUUCACUCUGGUAGUCCUAAAACUUGUAUGCCUGUGGCAUAUCUUGUAAUUUGACCUGAGAUUGGGUAGGGAUACCCGCUGACCUUAUGCAUAUCAAUAAGCGGAGGA